rnacentral:rRNA from 1 species
GAGUUUGAUCGUGGCUCAGAGCGAACGCUGGCGGCAGGCCUAAUACAUGCAAGUCGAGCGCACCUUCGGGUGAGCGGCGGACGGGUGAGUAACGCGUGGGAAUAUGCCCUUUGGUACGGAACAACCCAGGGAAACUUGGGCUAAUACCGUAUGUGCCCUACGGGGGAAAGAUUUAUCGCCAUUGGAGUAGCCCGCGUUGGAUUAGCUAGUUGGUAGGGUAAAGGCCUACCAAGGCUACGAUCCAUAGCUGGUCUGAGGGGAUGAUCAGCCACACUGGGACUGAGACACGGCCCAGACUCCUACGGGAGGCAGCAGUAGGGAAUCUUGCGCAAUGGGCGAAAGCCUGACGCAGCCAUGCCGCGUGAAUGAUGAAGGUCUUAGGAUUGUAAAAUUCUUUCACCGGGAAGAUAAUGACGGUACCCGGAGAAGAAGCCCCGGCUAACUUCGUGCCAGCCGCCGCCGU